CAAUAGCGUAUAUUUAAGUUGUUGCAGUUAAAAAGCUCGUAGUUGGAUUUCGGGUGGGACGCAGCGGUCUCGCAUUGCGUUUGUACUGCUGCAGCCCUCCUUCUUGCCGGGGGCGGCCUCUCGGACUUCACUGUCUGGGGGUCAGAAUCGGCGAUGUUACUUUGAGUAAAUUAGAGUGUUCAAAGCAAGCUUACGCUCUGAAUAUAAUAGCAUGGGAUAACACGACAGGACUCUGGCCUAUCGUGUUGGUCUAUAGGACCAGAGUAAUGAUUAAGAGGGACAGUCGGGGGCAUUCGUAUUCCGUUGUCAGAGGUGAAAUUCUUGGAUUUACGGAAGACGAACAUCUGCGAAAGCAUUUGCCAAGGAUGUCUUCAUUG
rnacentral:rRNA from 1 species